GAUGAACGCUGACAGAAUGCUUAACACAUGCAAGUCUUUGGUGAAGCUGUGCUUGCACCGCCUAGCCAAGGCGGACGGGUGAGUAACGCGUAAGGAACUUGCCCUGCAGUCAGGGAUAACAGACGGAAACGACUGAUAAGACCUGGUAAAGUCAGGCGGACUCAUGUCCAGCCUGAUGAAAAGAGAUGCUGCAGGAGAGCCUUGCGUCCUAUUAGCUUGUUGGUGGGGUAACGGCCCACCAAGGCAAUGAUAGGUAGCCGGCCUGAGAGGGUGGACGGCCACAAGGGGACUGAGAUACGGCCCUGACUCCUACGGGAGGCAGCAGUGGGGAAUAUUGGACAAUGGGGGCAACCCUGAUCCAGCAAUUCUGUGUGCACGAUGAAGGUUUUCGGAGUGUAAAGUGCUUUCAGCAGGGAAGAAAAAAAUGACGGUACCUGCAGAAGAAGCGACGGCUAAAUACGUG
rnacentral:rRNA from 1 species